AGGUUUAUUUCCUGGUUGAAGAUUUUCAUAUUGAUGAUUUUAAUUUCAAACAUCUGCAUUUCUUUUAAGUUCAAUUAACAGUUAUGCAGGCAGGCCUUAGGGCUCUUUUGAGACUUAAGUCAUCCUUCAUGAUAGAUAAAUUUGUUCACUAAGUGUCACUACGUCACAAAAAGUCUACAUGGCUACAUAUACUUGUCACUCAGUACACAGAUACUGAGUACAAGUUCUGUUUGCUGUUUCUUGCAGGUCAUGAAUUUGGUCAUGACCUAGUGUAGCUGGCUGGCUGCGGACGAGGAAGUAGGGCAAUAUAUAAAUAUAACCAUAAAUAGAGAACUGAUAUUUUUUGUUUUUAUCUAUGGCUGUGUGAAAAAGUCUAUUGUCUAAUAUGAGAAUGCAUAUCUGUUCAGACCUGUAAUUCAUCUCUUAGACUUUAUCUCGCAGCUACAGAUAAAAAAAAAAAAAUUCUCUAUUUAUGGUUUCACAAUGAGUCACAGUUGAAACAAAUGAGUUUCAGCUCUAAUGCUGCUACUGUCUGUAAUAUGUUUCUAUUUAGAUUUUUGUCAGGAUUUUUUGUUAUUAUUGUCCGAGUCUGGUUUUAACUAAUGCUGGGCUUACACCAAAAGAUUUUCACAUUCACAGACUAAAAACUGCAAGCGAGAAUUUAGCGUUGGAUCAAGUGUGAUAUUUACAAAGGGUUUGGUAGAUAUGUAGACAUGGGGGUUGGAGAUGCAGCGACCGCAGGAUGUCUGUUAACUUCCUGUUCAGGUUUCACACCUUUCUUGUCAGCAGCACAAGAGACA